GGUUUGAUCCUGGCUCAGAUUGAACGCGCUGGCGGGAUGCUUUACACGCGCGUACAAGUCGAACGGCCAGCACGGACUUCGGUCUGGUGGCGAGUGGCGAACGGGUGAGUAAUGUAUCGGAACGUGCCUAGUAGCCGGGGGAUAACUACGCGAAAGCGUAGCUAAUACCGCAUACGCCCUUCGGGGAAAGCGGGGAGCAUUCGGGCCUCGCACUAUUAGAGCAGCCGAUAUCGGAUUAGCUAGUUGGUGGGUAACGGCUCGCAAGGCGACGAUCCGUAGCUGGUUUAGAGAGGACGACCAGCCACGCAGGACUGAGACACGGCCCAGACUCCUACGGGAGGCAGCAGUGGGAAUUUUGGACAAUGGGGAAACCCUGAUCCAGCCAUCCCGCGUGUGCGAUGAAGGCCUUCGGGUUGUAAAGCACUUUUUGGCGGAAAGAAACGGCACGGGAUAAUACCCCGUGCAGCGGCGAUACCUGCAGAAUAAGCACCGGCUAACUACGUGCCAGCAGCCGCAGUGGCCACGUAGGGUGCAAGCGUUAAUCGGAAUUACUGGGCGUAAAAGCGUGCGCAGGCGGUUCGGAAAGAAAGAUGUGAAAUCCCAGAGCUUAACUUGGAACUUCAUUUUUAACUACCGAGCUAGAGGUGUCAGAGGAGGUGGAAUUCCGCGUGUAGCAGUGAAAUGCGUAGAUAUGCGGAGGAACACCGAUAGCGAAACAGCCUCACCAGGAUAACACUGACGCUCAUGCAUGAAAGCGUGGGGAGCAAACAGGAUUAGAUACCCUGGUAGUCCACGCUAAACGAUGUCAACUAGCUGUUGGGG
rnacentral:misc_RNA from 1 species